rnacentral:rRNA from 1 species
GAUGAACGCUAGCGGGAGGCUUAACACAUGCAAGUCGAGGGGCAGCACGGGUUCGCCGCAAGGCGGAUCUGGUGGCGACCGGCGCACGGGUGAGUAACGCGUAUGCAACCUGCCUUGUACUGGGGGAUAGCCCGGAGAAAUUCGGAUUAAUACCCCAUAAUGAUAUAGAAUGGCAUCGUUUUAUAUUUAAAGAUUUAUUGGUACAGGAUGGGCAUGCGUAACAUUAGCUAGUUGGUAGGGUAACGGCCUACCAAGGCAACGAUGUUUAGGGGUCCUGAGAGGGUGAUCCCCCACACUGGUACUGAGACACGGACCAGACUCCUACGGGAGGCAGCAGUGAGGAAUAUUGGUCAAUGGGCGCAAGCCUGAACCAGCCAUCCCGCGUGCAGGAAGACGGCGCUAUGCGUUGUAAACUGCUUUUCCAGGGGAAGAAAACUUCCAUCGUGAUGGGACUUGCCGGUACCCUGGGAAUAAGCAUCGGCUAACUCCGUGCCAGCAGCCGCCGUAAGAC